rnacentral:misc_RNA from 1 species
UCCGGCUUAUCACCGGCAGUUUCCUCAGAGUUCCCAGCUUUACCUGUUGGCAACAGAGGACGAGGGUUGCGCUCGUUGCGGGACUUAACCCAACAUCUCACGACACGAGCUGACGACAGCCAUGCAGCACCUGUGCACCUCCCACCCGAAGUGAAGGGACUCCUUUCAGAGACCCAUAGAGGGCAUGUCAAAUCCUGGUAAGGUUCUUCGCGUUGCCUCGAAUUAAACCACAUGUUCCACCGCUUGUGCGGGUCCCCGUCAAUUCCUUUGAGUUUUAAUCUUGCGACCGUACUCCCCAGGCGGGAUGCUUAACGCGUUAGCUACGCCACUGGGGGGUAACCCCCCAACGGCUAGCAUCCAUCGUUUACGGCGUGGACUAC